UGCGCAUUAAACGACACAAAAGGCUGGAUGCAUUAAAUACUGCAAAAAUGUUUUAUUUAUUACAAAUGCUCAAAAAUGUCCUCCCUGUAGACCAGCCUCUCUUGCUUGUCAACUUUUCUUAAUAAUAUCUUACAAUACUUUCUUAACAUUCCCUAAUACCAAUGUAAGUUCUGCCCCUCAAUUAACCAUUCUCUAAAACAGGUCUAAAAUACUUCUCCAAGACUCAUUAAUUAUUAGCUAAUGAUACAAUAUAUAUUCAAUGCACAGUAUUUUACUGUGUGUUGCAUAGAGGGUUGAAGAGGGGGUAGGAAUUAUGGUUUUGCUGGAUGUAGCACACAGUGCCCAAUGAUUUCACAUUAUAUUUGUAAAUUUACAUACCAUCCUGUGUAUUUUGUACAAUACAUUCACUGUGACAGAAUGGUAAUUCCUCAAUAAGGUAAAAAGUAUCCCUUUUAUAUUACAGAGGGGUGAGGAAAUUAGUGUUGUUGGAUUUAUAACUCAAUCCCUUUCGAAAACUAAUGAGCAGCAGCAAAUUAACCACAAUUUCAUAAAAAUAUGCUUUUUAUUGUAGAUAUGUUCAUUAAUUUACUUAAGCUCUAACCAUUUCUCAAUGUGCUCCAUUUACCUUAGUAACCUGUUUUGUUUAUAUUUUUCCCAUGUAGUUAUUAAAGAUUUCCCAAAUAGACUAUGCAUGUCUGCAAAAAAUUAUGACUUUAUUUCAGUGUUUCACUGCAGACUUAUUUUGAAGGCGAAUAGUAGUUAUUGAGUUGACAGUUAGCAAGCUCGCUAGCUUCUUACUUUUAAUUGUCUCUCCGAUGAUUGCUACCUGCAUUAUAUCUAUGUUACAGCUACUUACUGACAGUUCCAGGCUUACAUGCGUAUGCACAGACAGCCAGUUUAGUUUCUUCGCCUUCACACGUUAGCUUGAUACUCCGAACGUCGGAUGCAGGAUGUGGUUGCUUGGCUCUGAUGCAUUUGUAAUGGUAAACUGUGCGCAUCUUGGUUUUAAAAAAAAAUAUUGGGCACAGAAUAGCGAAUGGACUUCUCCCUCCAGCUUAUCUAAUGAGUAUAAAUAUAUUUAUUUCUCCACAAUCGCUGUUCUAUAUGUUGAAAGAAGGUCUUGAAAUGUUGUAGGUUCUAAAUUUGAGAAAAGGCCUAAGAGGAUUUAAAUGCUGUAUGUUGACAAAACUGUUGAACAUGCUUUAAUGAUGUGAUAUUCAAGGGUUGUCUUCCUGUGUUUUGUUUUGAUCUGAAGCUGAAGAAAAACAGUAAUGUCAAAACUCUGGCCCUAGACUGCAAUGACGGUAAGGCGCGCGCACACGGACCACACACACGCACACACAAAAAGACAACACGCAUGGACGGACAGACAGUGAUCAUGAAUAGUGGUGUUUGUAUAAUGUGAAUGUUUGCUGUUAUAGUGGUGGUGACACAGGAGUUAGAACACUACUAUAGAAUUAGAUAUAUGCCAAAAUGUUAAGCAUACUUAUUGUUGGGGAAAAGAAAAUCCAUACAUAAAUUGGCAUGAUCAUAAGAAAUGUCAUAUGUAAAACAUGAAACAUAACCGUGAAAUUAGAUCUGUGAACUUACAAACACUGUUACAGUGACUAAUAUGUUUUGCUAGUACCAUAUCUAGUUUUUCAAUUCUAAAGUACAACAUCACAAUCUGGAGUUUUGGCAGUUUACACAUCUACAUACAUACAUCUUCUUCCGCUUCAUCCGGGGCCGGGUCGCGGGGGCAGCAGUCUAAGCAGAGAUGCCCAGACUUCCCUCUCCCUAGACACUUCCUCCAGCUCUUCCAGGGGGGGACCAAGGCGUUCCCAGGCCAGCCAGGAGACAUAGUCCCUCCAGCGUGUCCUAGGUCUUCCCCGGGGUCUCCUCCCGGUGGGACGGGCCCGGGAACACCUUCCCAGGAUGCCCAAGCCACCUCAGCUGACCCAUCUCGAUGUGGAGGAGCAGCGGCUCUACUCUGAGCUCCUCCCGGUUGACCGAGCUUCUCACCCCAUCUCUAAGGGAUCGCCCUACGGAGAAAGCUAAUUUCGGCCGCCUGUAUCCGGGAUCUUGUCCUUUCGGUCAUGACCCAAAGCUCAUGACCAUAGGUGAGAGUAGGAACGUAGAUUGACCGGUAAGUCGAGAGCUUCGCCUUGCGGCGAAGCUCUUCACCACGACAGGCAGAUACAUCGACCUCAUUACUGCAGAAGCUGCACCGAUCCGUCUGUCUAUCUCCCGUUCCAUCCUUCCCUCACUCGUGAACAAGACCCCUAGAUACUUAAACUCCUCCACUUGAGGCAGGCACUCUCCACCAACCUGAAGUGGGCAAGCCACCCUUUUCCGACUGAGGACCAUGGCCUCGGAUUUGGAGGUACUGAUUCUCAUCAUCACCGCUUCACACUCGGCUGCAAACCAUCCCAGUGCAUGCUGAAGGUCCUGGUUUGAAGGGGCCAACACGACAACAUCAUUCUCAAAGAGCAGAGACGAAAUUGUGUGGUCCCCAAACCUGACACCCUCCGGCCCCUGGCUGUGCCUAGAAAUUCUGUCCCUAAAAAUUAUGAACAGAACCGGCGACAAAUGGCAGCCCUGUUGGGGUCUAACAUGCACUGGUAACAAGUCUGACUUACUGCCAGCAAUGCGGAACAAGCUCCUGCUUCGGUCGUACAGGGACCUGACAACCCUUAGCAAAGGACCCAGGACCCCAUAUUCCCGAAGCACCCUCCACAGGAUGCCGCAAGGGACACAGUCGAAUGCCUACUCCAAAUCCACAAAACACAUGUGGACUGGUUGGGCAAACUCCCAUGAACCCUCCAACACCCCGUAGAGGGUAUAGAGCUGGUCCAGUGUUCCACGGCCCGGACGAAAACCUCCACGGCCCGGACGAAAACCCAAACUUUUUUUAGAUGGUAGUUUCAUCUAAAAAAUUUUACCCAAACUUUCCGUGAGGUGAUAAUACAGUACUACAAGCAUAGGCAGUGUGAACAACCUGAUAUCGGGGAUACCGGAAAUGGGUAUCCUGCAAGAUUUCCAUUUAAGUCCCUUCUCUCUUCAUGCAUGCAUGCAUGCAUAGUGCAAACUGAUUUUCAUGUGCACAAUCCACGUGCGUAACUGUUCUUUAUUUGUGCAUAUGUUUCUGUGUCCUUGUCAUUUUCACGCAAGCAUUUUACUUAAUGCCUAAACACAUGAUGGCCUACUGGUGUAAUGUUAUGCAGUCUUAAAAAACAGCUAUGAACUCAGGAAUCGCAGAAAAUUUAGAAUACAACGUGUAAAAAGUCAUAAAUGUGUAUUUAAAUUUUUUUACCCCGAUCAUACCAAUUGACAAAUGUAUUUUCUUACGAUCCCAACAACAAGUAUGCUUAACCUUUUGGCAGAUAUGUAACUCCAUACACUACAGAAUAAAACUGGAUUGAUCAAACGUGUGUGUGUGUGUGUGUGUGUGUACAGUGUGUUCUCCCGCAGCACCCGCUGGGAGAUUCCCUGCUCUGUGGCGCUACCUGCAGCAGUCCAACAGACAGCCUGUCAUUGGUGUUGGUAUGUUGACAGAGUUGACCGAACGAGAUGGUGACUACGUCCUGUGUGGAUGCUGUUCUCACAAGAUGUUUCCAUCCUCUGUCACCUCACACGUCAUCUCUUCCAGACACCGCUACUACUACAUAAGAAUGGCACAUCCUGAGCUGGCUGUUAAUUGGCCAGAAAGUCCAGCGCUGAUUGUGUAUAAUGGGCCUCUUCAAAGAGAGCUGAGAGUGCAAGCUAAAGAACUGGAGGGUCAGGAAGGACCUGAACAUCCCCAGGUGGUGAAAGAAACAUCUGCUACAUCGGGAGGUGGACCCACAACCUGCCCAGAAGAGGUUGUCGAACAGAUCCAGAUUCACUCCGCUCCUGUCUCUGUGGAAGAGGAACCGGUUAACUCAGAGCCAUCACAGCCCCUCGGAGAAAAGAAAAAGACGAGGAAUAGGGGCAAUCCUGUGGUUGGAGUGAACUUCCUGGUCCGGGUGUCUCACAGAAAUAGGAAACAAUACUACUGUCAGCUGUGCUCCGUUAGGGUGAAGCAUCCCGUUAUUGAUCACAUGACCAGCCUCCGCCAUCGACACAGCUAUGUGAAAUUGAAGUACCCCAGUUGGACCUCCGACUCAGAGGCAAAGCUGUUCAAGAUGGCUUUUCACCUGGAGAAGGUGGAUCGAAGCGCUGGACUGGGCAUGCAGAAAGUAGAAGUGGAUGCUGUUGAAUUCAAGGAUCUAAGGUCUUGCCCUGUGGAGGAAGCUCUCAGUAAACUGCAGGCCAUUAUCAUACAGCAACAAGAGCCAGGUGAUCUGAAGAUGCAUCCCUCAACCAAUCAGAACCCAGAAGAUCUGAGACAGACUGCUCCCUCAUUGAGACCUGUCAGUGCCCAAGGGCCAUCUAACGGAGACCAGGAACACCUACAAGUACCUGCCUCCUCUCUCCAGGAUCAGCCGUCCUUUGGCUCCACAUCUGUCCCCCUCUCAUCCUCCAGUCCUCCUUGCCUCUCUCCCUCAAACUCCUUCUCUGCCUCUCUCCCCGCAGUGUCCCUAUCUGCCUCAACCUCCCUUUCUUCCUUUGUUCCAUCCUACACUCCCGUUUUGUCCACUGAGAAGACGACUGACCCCUCAUCAGAUGUUGUCUCUGUCCCCGAUCCUGUCUGUGAUCCUGUCUCUGUCCCUUCACCCCUCUCCGCUCUAAAGAACCCAACACAUCUGAAGGACUGCGAGAGUCCAGAGUGGUGGGAGAGGAGGAGCCCAGAAAACAGAGAGACACUAAUGCUUCUGGAACUCCCAGACAAACAGACGGAGUACGCGGCGGGAGACCGGCUGACGGAGUACGCGGCGGGAGACCGGCUGACGGAGUACGCGGCGGGAGACCGGCUGACGGAGUACGCGGCGG
ensembl:lncRNA